UACGGAGGGUGGAAGAGUUAUCCGGGUUCACUGGGUUUAAAGGGUGCGUAGGCGGGGAGGUAAAUCAGUGGGGGAAUCCUGGAGCUCAACUCCCGAAAUGCCAUUGAUACUAUCUAUCUUGAAUAUUGUGGAGGUAAGCGGAAUAUGUCAUGUAGCGGUGAAAUGCUUAGAUAUGACAUAGAACACCCAUUGCGAAGGCAGCUUACUACGCAUAUAUUGACGCUGAGGCACGAAAGCGUGGGGAUCAAACAGGAUUAGAUACCCUGGUAGUCCACGCCCUAAACUAUGGAUACUCGACAUAUGCGAUACACUGUAUGUGUCUGAGCGAAAGCAUUAAGUAUCCCACCUGGGAAGUACGUUCGCAAGAAUG
rnacentral:rRNA from 1 species